rnacentral:lncRNA from 10 species
UAACAGGAGCUGCGUUAGGGAUAAAAACUUUUCUCUCCUUUGUUUGGUAUGCUCUUGCAAUCAGACGGAUGCAGGCAGCACCCUUCUGCAGAAGUAAAUGUGCCUUGCUGAGAAAUGUUCUGUCUAAGUGCUGGCUUUUCUUUGAGGCACUGAGCACUUGUUUCUAACAAAAUGGGGGCACAUCUGGGAUCCCAUUCUCCUCCGGAGAAGGGUCUCCAAUCAUCUCUUGUGAGGAGACGUGUCUCACUGCAGCAGCCUCAAGAAUGAGGGAUUGAGACCCACCAGCAUGAUGAAUAUACCGAGACUCUCAGCAACAUGGAAGGAAAAGGCCUACAGAUGCCAUGGUGACCAAGUAAUUCUGUGCACAGACCAAGCAUGGGCAAAAGGGCAAGACCCUGUAUGCCCAAGAAGAAAGUGGAGAAAGAGAAGAGCAACAAGGAAAGGGAAGGUGCCUUAGCUCAACAGGCUGCUGGCGGACAUGGAGAGGAAGCCCCAGAGAAGCAUGUGGCGGACAAGCAAUGAGAAGCAUGCUGUGCAGCCUCAGGAAGCCCACAGCAGGCACUACUGAUGCAGGAGAGGCCAUGAGCCAGGUGGGAGAUAAGAAAGGAAAGUAUCAGACAACCUGGGGCUGGAACACAAUGCACAGCUCUUAGAAUAAGAUCAUCCUCACAUCUGUUU